rnacentral:ncRNA from 1 species
UAAAAAGCGAAGAAGAGGAAGAGUAUAUGAAUUUUUCUUUCCUAGAGAGAAAGUGGUUGCUGCAAACUUUCAAAGAAAAUUCAUAGAAGGUAGCCUUGGAGCUGUUUUUCUGAACCUUAAAGUAGGAAAAACCGGUGCUAAAUCGCAUCGUUACUAGAAUGAGUGCCGAAUUUUUUCGGUAAAAAGGUGGUACCGCGAAUCUAAACUCUUUUCGUCCUUUUC